rnacentral:lncRNA from 1 species
CUCAAAAAUCCUUAUAUGGAAGCUCUUCUUGGGUCUAUUUUAGGGUAAGAGGCCUCUUAAUUCAGAUAUCUGGAAAAAUCAAUUCAGGGAAAGAACUAUAGCAGUACAAACAACACACCAUUUGUCUGUUCAUUCAAUCACUGGUCACUGAGUAACUUGUGUGUACCAGGCUUCUCAAGAAUGACAGCUAUAUGAAGAAAAAGCUACUGGCAUCUCUGAAAAGUAUAACAUACAAUAAUUAUGUAUUGUUAUUAUUAAUAUUGUUAUUAUUAUUUUUAAUAAUAGCAAUAUUAUUAAUAGUGUUAAGAUGAAAAUACUUUUAUAUUAAUCAGCAUUUCACGUUGUCAAUUUAAUAUAUUGUUAAAAUGAAUAUACUUUUAUAUUUAUUGUCAUUUCAUGUUGCCAAUUUAAUAUGCUCUGACUCACUACAAGGUCAUAGUUAUUAACACCUUAGGUCCUAAGGCUCAGGGUAAUGGAGGCAUUGUUAUGUCAAGUUUGUCUCCUGACGUGAUAGCAUCUGUGAAUGGCAGAGCAGAGACAACCUGGACAAGAGUUGAGCCAAGAAGCCUCCUCUUGGACAGUAACAUUGAGCCCAGGAGAAACUGACACUGGGCAGCAGCCACAGCCUCAUGCACAUCCAAAGACAGUCCACCCACAGGAAGUGUAUUUGCAUCCCUGAACGUUACUCUAACAUCCCUCCAGAAUGUCCAGCAGCCAUUUCAUCUGGACUUUACUCAGAACAGAACAGAUGCAGACCUCUAAACAAGAGCAGACCUCUUCAUCUUGUUCUAGAAAUGAAUAUUUGAGGACUCGCCUGGAACUUGGUCAGGGUCUAGAAGUGAGAAGGCAAAGACACUGAACUCCAGAGAACUUACAGAACUUGUUCAAGGUGGCAAGAAAAAAUAAUCGGAAAAUUGGAUGAAGAUGAGUGCCUGCCUGUCUUUUCAGUAUCAUAGAAAACACUAACAGGCCCACUCAAAGGGGAUUUAAAAUUCUCCAGGGGAAGGUACUUUGAUUGACAGAUUAUUUCUUAGGAUUAGGGGGUCUAGACUUUGUGAAAUCACCCAAGUCCAACUUGUUAAUUUGUAAAUUGCUAAAUUACAACUUAUUUUUGUCCAGCAGAGAUGCAAAUG